CUACAACAAGUCUUAACAUAACAACACAACCAGCUGUAACCAACUCAACAUCUGUUCUUACAACAGAUUUAAACACAACAACAUUCACAGCAACACCAACAUCAAUUGUAACAAAUUCAACACUCAUCACUACUACACCCACAGCUACACCGACCACCGCUGUCACCAAUUCAACAUAUAUUGCAACAACAGAUUUAAACACAACAUUCACAGCAACACAACCA